GAUGAACGCUGGCGGCGUGCCUAAUACAUGCAAGUCGAGCGAACAGAUGAGGAGCUUGCUCCUCUGACGUUAGCGGCGGACGGGUGAGUAACACGUGGAUAACCUACCUAUAAGACUGGGAUAACUUCGGGAAACCGGAGCAAAUACCGGAUAAUAUAUUGAACCGCAUGGUUCAAUAGUGAAAGACGGUUUUGCUGUCACUUAUAGAUGGAUCCGCGCCGCAUUAGCUAGUUGGUAAGGUAACGGCUUACCAAGGCAACGAUGCGUAGCCGACCUGAGAGGGUGAUCGGCCACCCUGGAACUGAGACACGCUCCAGACUCCUACGGGAGGCAGCAGUAGGGAAUCUUCCGCAAUGGGCGAAAGCCUGACGGAGCAACGCCGCGUGAGUGAUGAAGGUCUUCGGAUCGUAAAACUCUGUUAUUAGGGAAGAACAAAUGUGUAAGUAACUAUGCACGUCUUGACGGUACCUAAUCAGAAAGCCACGGCUAACUACGUG
rnacentral:rRNA from 1 species